rnacentral:rRNA from 1 species
AACGCACCUUGCGCUCCUUGGUAUUCCGAGGAGCAUGCCUGUUUGAGUGUCAUGCUAAUCAUCAACCCCCUCGUUCGCUUUUGCGGAUGCGGGUGGCUUGGAAUUGGAGGAUUCAUUGUCGGCUCUCUAUCGAGUCGACUCCUCUUGAAGACAUUAGUCGGAACUCGGUCGCUCCGUCGCGGUACGCGGUGUGAUAACUUAUUCACCCAUCGGUAAACCCGCUUCAACGCGUCCGGCUGGCUUCUAACCCGCGCUUCAGUCGCAACUCUUGACAAUCUGACCUCAAAUCAGGUAGGACUACCCGCUGAACUUAA